rnacentral:rRNA from 1 species
CAGGCUUAACACAUGCAAGUCGAGGGGCAGCAUGGUCUUAGCUUGCUAAGGCCGAUGGCGACCGGCGCACGGGUGAGUAACACGUAUCCAACCUGCCGUCUACUCUUGGACAGCCUUCUGAAAGGAAGAUUAAUACAAGAUGGCAUCAUGAGUCCGCAUGUUCACAUGAUUAAAGGUAUUCCGGUAGACGAUGGGGAUGCGUUCCAUUAGAUAGUAGGCGGGGUAACGGCCCACCUAGUCUUCGAUGGAUAGGGGUUCUGAGAGGAAGGUCCCCCACAUUGGAACUGAGACACGGUCCAAACUCCUACGGGAGGCAGCAGUGAGGAAUAUUGGUCAAUGGGCGCAGGCCUGAACCAGCCAAGUAGCGUGAAGGAUGACUGCCCUAUGGGUUGUAAACUUCUUUUAUAAAGGAAUAAAGUCGGGUAUGGAUACCCGUUUGCAUGUACUUUAUGAAUAAGGAUCGGCUAACUCCGUGCCAGCAGCCGCGGUAAUACGGAGGAUCCGAGCGUUAUCCGGAUUUAUUGGGUUUAAAGGGAGCGUAGAUGGAUGUUUAAGUCAGUUGUGAAAGUUUGCGGCUCAACCGUAAAAUUGCAGUUGAUACUGGAUAUCUUGAGUGCAGUUGAGGCAGGCGGAAUUCGUGGUGUAGCGGUGAAAUGCUUAGAUAUCACGAAGAACUCCGAUUGCGAAGGCAGCCUGCUAAGCUGCAACUGACAUUGAGGCUCGAAAGUGUGGGUAUCAAACAGGAUUAGAUACCCUGGUAGUCCACACGGUAAACGAUGAAUACUCGCUGUUUGCGAUAUACGGCAAGCGGCCAAGCGAAAGCGUUAAGUAUUCCACGUGGGGAGUACGCCGGCAACGGUGAAACUCAAAGGAAUUGACGGGGGCCCGCACAAGCGGAGGAACAUGUGGUUUAAUUCGAUGAUACGCGAGGAACCUUACCCGGGCUUAAAUUGCAGAUGAAUUACGGUGAAAGCUGUAAGCCGCAAGGCAUCUGUGAAGGUGCUGCAUGGUUGUCGUCAGCUCGUGCCGUGAGGUGUCGGCUUAAGUGCCAUAACGAGCGCAACCCUUGUUGUCAGUUACUAACAGGUUCCGCUGAGGACUCUGGCAAGACUGCCAUCGUAAGAUGUGAGGAAGGUGGGGAUGACGUCAAAUCAGCACGGCCCUUACGUCCGGGGCUACACAAGUGUUACAAUGGGGGGUACAGAGGGCCGCUACCACGCGAGUGGAUGCCAAUCCCCAAAACCUCUCUCAGUUCGGAUUGGAGUCUGCAACCCGACUCCACGAAGCUGGAUUCGCUAGUAAUCGCGCAUCAGCCACGGCGCGGUGAAUACGUUCCCGGGCCUUGUACACACCGCCCGUCAAGCCAUGGGAGCCGGGGGUACCUGAAGUGCGUAACCGCGAGGAGCGCCCUAGGGUAAAACUGGUGACUGGGGC